GCCUGGUUGGCUCAUUUGGUAGAGCAUGUGACUCUUAAUCAGGGGAUGUAAGUUCUAGCCCCACAGUGGGUG
rnacentral:tRNA from 1 species